GACGGGGGAUGCAAGCGUUAUCCGGAAUCACUGGGCGUAAAGCGUCUGCAGGUGGUUUCCUAAGUCCACUGUUAAACCUUGAGGCUCAACCUCAAAUCUGCAUUGGAAACUAGGAGACUUGAGUAUAGUAGGGGUAGAGGGAAUUUCCAGUGGAGCGGUGAAAUGCGUAGAUAUUGGAAAGAACACCGAUGGCGAAGGCGCUCUACUGGGCUAUUACUGACACUCAGAGACGAAAGCUAGGGGAGCAAAUGGG
rnacentral:rRNA from 1 species